CCAGCAGCCGGGGGCCAGUCUCGCUGCGGACGCCAGUGUAAUGAAGUGGGAGAUAUUCUGCGCCAUCAGUCAUCUCUGCAAGUGAAUGUCCAAUUUGACAACCACGAGGGCUGACAUGCUGGCUGACAAGAGGAACAUGCGGAUCACUUGGGCGUUUUCAAGGCAGCGAUGAUACGAAAACAAAUGGCUAGCCUUUGGGACCCUUUGAGUCCGGACCUGGUCUCAGAGGAUAGCCGGCUGCAGGAAAAAAGCAAAUUAAAAUCCCUCCGCUAAUGUGUCGGCCGGUAAUGAAAUAAGAAUCUGACACUUACUUGCAUUGAAAUGCAAAAGAGGUGUCCCCCUGUUACCCUGGCAAUUUAUCAUAAAAGGCAGCGAAAUUCUACUUAAUAUACAU